AAGUUAAUUUGGGAAAAAGAGAAAAAAAAAAGCACAAAAAAUAAAACACAUGGGAGAAACACACACCUGUAUUCCUUUUAUCCUAAUAUAACAAGGAUAGCAUUCUGGUACUAUUUUUUUUACAGUCAUUUUUUUCUAUGUAUGAACUUUUUAAGUGUUGUAGUUAAACAUGAUUGUAUUGUAAUCCCUGCUACUUGGGAGGAUUAGGUGGGAGCAUAGCCUGAGGCCAGGAGUCCAAGUACACAGUGAGCUAUGACUGAAUCACUGCACUCCAGCCUGAAUGACAGAGUGAGACCAUCUCCUUCAAAACAAACAAAAUAACACACAGAAACACGUGGUUGUAAAAUACUAAAUAAAUAUACAGUCCAUUUUUGUCAUUUAACACACCAGAUGUUACUCUUACACAUUCAUAGAUAUCAAUGAUUGAAUAGAUUUAUCACAGUUUAACAGUUUUUCUAUUGCUAGACUUACAUUUGCAUUUUUUCUACCACAAGUAAUAUUAUGGUUAAUGCUUUAGUGAAUAUGGAUUUUCCAUCUUUAGGUUUAAUUUCCUUAAAAUGAGUUUUGGGAGUAAAAUUACUGGAUCAAAAGUUAAACAUUACUGCGACUCUUGAUAUGAAAAUGAAAUCUGCAUAAUGUUAAUUCUCAUUUAAAAUUUUAUAAAAAUUUUAUUAAAAUGUCAUUAAAUUUUUGGAAAAAAUUUUAGGAAUUUGAAAUAACAUACCUAAUUUUACAUCGCCAUGGUCUGUCAAUAAAAUAUUAGCACCCUAGAACAAAAAUACAAAUACAAUUAAAUUAGCAUCAUAAAAUUUCUUCCAAUAGAAUUGGCAAUUUAAAUGUAUUAAAUGAACUUACUUUGAUAUCUCUAUGCAUUUUGCCUUUAGUAUGCAAAUAGGCAAGACCCUAAAAGUUUAAAAAAAAAAAAAAAGAAUGUAUCAGCAAAACUGUAAAUGUGACUCCUAAAUUUUCUACUUAAAUUCUUAUUGAAUAAGAAAAACUAGAAUGUCUUUUUUGGGGAGAAAAAAACCUAGAUAAGUAAAUCAAUGUUUACUAUAUUUUAAAGAUUUGUUUUUGUUUUUGAGACAGAGUCUCACUGCCCAGGCUGGAGUGCAGUGGCAGUGAUUUUGGCUCACUGCAGCUGCCAUCUCCUGGGUUCAAGUGAUUCACUUGCCUCCGCCUCCCAAGUAGCCGGGAUUACAGGCAUGCGCCACUAUGCCCAGCUAAUUUUUGUAUUUUUUAGUAGAGACGGGGUUUCACCAUGUUGGCCAGACUGGUCUUGAACUCCUGACCUCAAGUGAUCCACCCGCCUCAGCCUCCCAAAGUGGUGGGAUUACAGGCGUGAGCCACCACACCCGGCCUGAAGAUUUCUAAUUUAUUUUCUGAUAAAAAUCAGAAAUAUUUCACUAAACACAAUCAAGAUAUCAAAUAUAUUAAUUACUCCUAAAAGUUUCCUUAUGUGGUGCUCCUUUAUAAUUUUCCCAUUCUUCCCCACAACCCUCACAAACACUGAUGUGCUUUCUGGCACUAUAGUUCAGGUUUUCAAAGUUGUCUGACUAUUCUAGGUGUUUUACAUUUCCACAGCAAUUUUAGAAUCAGCAUGUCAACUUCUUUAAUAAAAAGCCUCCUCAAAUUGUGAUUGGGGUUGCACUGAAUCUACAGAACAAUUUGUGAAGAAUUAUCAUCUCAACAGUAUUGAGUCUUCUGGUUUGUGAACAUGGUAUAGUUCUCCAUUUAUUUGGGUUUUUAAUUUCUUUCAGGAGUUUUGUAGUUUUCUGUAUGCAGGUGUUUAUGCAUCUUUUGUCAUAUUUAUCCCUAAGAAUGUCAUAUUCUUUAUGUUAUUAUAUGUUGUAUUAUUUUAACUUCAGAUUGUCCGUUGCUAGUAUAUAUAAAUCUGAUUGAUUUUUGUACAUUGAUAGUGAAUAUUACAAUCUUUCUAGCCUAAUUUAUUAGUUCUAGUAGCUACUUUGUAGAUUUUAUUCCAUUUUCUACACAGAUGAUGAUGUGGUCUGUGAAUAAAGAGAGUUGUACUUCCUACUUUCUAAUCCAGAUGCCUUUUAUUUCAUUAUUUUCUCUUUUUGCACUGGCUGAAACCUCUAGGACAAUGUUGAAAAGUAGUAGUAAAGGCAGACUUCAUCACCCUGUUUGGGUGAGCCUGGAGGAAAAAACAUCCCGUCUUUUACCAUUAAGUAUGAGUUAGUCAUAGGUUUUUCACAGGUACGCUUUAUCAGGUUGACCAAGUUCCUUUCUAUUCCUACCAUGUUCAGAACUUUUUUUUAUCAGGAAUGAAUGUUGGAUUUUGCUAAAUGCCCUGUGUGUAUUUAGAUGAUAAUGUGGUUUUUCUUUUUUAGUUGUUAAGAUGAAAUGAUUUUUGGAUAUUAAACCAACACUGCAUUCUAGAAUAAACUCCACUUAUGAUGUAUUAACUUUUAAAAUAUAUUACUGGAUUACCUUUGCUAAACCUUUUAUUUUUAAUGUUUGCACCUAGGUUUAUGAAGAACAUUAGCCUGUAGUUUUGUUCUCUUGUAAGAUUGUUGUCUAAUUUUGGUGUCAGAAAAAUGCUGACUCAAAAUGAUUCGGGAGUUAUUUCUCAUUCUUCAAUUUUCUAGAUAGGUAUAUAUAGGAUUGGCAUUAUUUCUUUCUUAUAUGUCUGGUAGAAUUUACUGUAUGGCAUCAUCUGGCCCGGAGUUUUCUUUGUGAGAAUACAUAUAGGAUUAUUCAGGUUAUUUAUAAUUGAGUGAGCUUUGGUAGUUUGUAUCUCUUGUUGAAACUGCCCAUUUUAUUGGCAUAAUACUGUUCAUAAUACUGUCUUGUUAUCUAAUAUUUGUAAAUUCUGUCUUGAUAUCCCAUCAUUCAUUUCUGAUGCUUAUCACUUGUUUCUUCUCUUUUUACUUUUUUUCCUGAUCAAUCUGUCUAGAUGUUUAUCAUUUUUAUUGCUCAUCUCAAAGAAUCAGAUUUUUAUUUCACUGACAUUCUCUAUUACUAUUUUUUUUCCUUUCCAUUUCGUUUAUUUUUAUUCUGAUCUUUAUUUCCUUUCUCUGCUUACUUUGCAUUAUAUUUGCUCAUCUUUUUCUAGCUUCUUAGGUGGAAGCUGAGGAUACUGAUUUUGAGAGCUUCUGUUUAGUGCUAUAAAUUUCCCUAUAAGUACAGGCUGAAUAUCCCUAUCUAAAAUGCUUGGGACCAGACAUAUUUCAGAUUUCAGAUUUUUUAGUACUUGCAGAAUAUAUACUGGUUAAACAUCCCUAAUCAGAAAACAGAAAAUACAAAAUGCUCCAAUGAGCAUUUUCUUUGAGCAUAAUGUUGGACUUUCUUAAACAUUUCUUGUAGGAUAGGUCUGCUGGUGACUUGUUCUUUCAGUGUUUGUAAGUCUGAAAAACUCUAUUUUGCCUUUGUUUUUGAAAGAGAUUUUCUCUAGGAAUAGAAUUUUAGGUUGACAAUUUUUUUUCAGUACUUUAAAGAUUUUCCACUGUCUUCUCACUUAUUUCUAACAAUAAAUAUUCCUUGUCUUUGUUCUUUUGUAUAUCAUGAGUCCUGUUCUGAAUGCUUCUAAGAUGUUCUAAUCAAAUAAGCAAUUUGAUUCAUGUGUCUUAGUGUAGUUUUUUUCGUUUUUUUUUUUUUUGUUGUUGUUGUUUUUUGUGCUCAGGGUUUGUUGAGCACUUUGGAUCUGUGGGCCCAUAUUAAUAGUUAUCAUCAAGUAUGGACAAUUUUCAGCCAUCUCCCCUUUUCAGUUUGUCUCCCUUUUCUCUUUCGUUUCCCUUUUUUCUCUUUGUCUCUUCAUUCUCUCUCUUUUUUUUUUUCUCAUUUUUGUCCCUUUUUCUUCUGUUGUCCCUUCAAGGACACCAAUUAUAUCCAUAUUAGGCCACUUGAAAUUGUCCUACAGCUUAAUGAUACUCUUCACUUAUAAAAAAUUACUUUUUCUUUCCAUGUUUCAUUUUGAAUAUUUUCCACCUCUAUGCCCUCAAAUUCAAAUAUACGUUUUUUGCAAUAUUUAAUCAUCUGCUAAUUUCAUCCUUUGUUAAUUCCAUCAGACACAUGUUAAUUAACAUCCUUUGUUAAUUCCUUUGUUAAUUCCAUCCAAAGCUCACUCAGUAUUUAAUCAUCUGCUAAUUUCAUCCUUUGUUAAUUCCAUCAGACACUGUGGUUUUCAUCUCUAGAAGUUUGACUUGGGCCUUUUUUAUACCUUCCAUAUCUCAACUUGUUAAGCAUCUUAAACAGUUAUAACUGUUUUAAUGUUUUUGUCUGCUAAUUCUGGCAUCUGUCAGUGUGGGUUGGUUUUACUGAUUUUCAUCUUAUUUUGCUUCUUUGCUUGUCUGGUAAUCUUUGAGUAGAUGCCCAACAUUGUGAAUUUUACUUUGUUGGGUGCUGUAUAUUUUUGAAUUUUCAAAAAUACUCCAAUACUCUGAAGCACUCUCCAAUACUCUACCUUAAAUACUCUAACUGGCUUGGGACCCCACCUGGGUUCCUUCUCCCUGUACUGUGGCCUGAAAACUUUCCCAACGCCAUAAGCUGGGGCAAUUAUAUGGCUUCCUUGGUUUGUUUCCUAUUUUUCAGGCCUCAUUGUCCUUCAUUACCUGAUGUUCAGUUUCUUGAAAAUCACUGUUUCAUAUAUUUUGCCUACUUUAUUUGAUUGUUUUGGGUAGCAUGGUAAAUCUACUUCUUGUUACCUGAUUUUGACCAGAUGUGGAAGUUUAUCUGCAUAAUAGAAUUUUAAAAUUGGAAAUAAUCUUGGAGGUAUUCCCUUCCUAAGCUUCAUAUUGGUUUUUUUUUUAUUUUAAUUUUUGUGGGUACAUAGUAGGUAUAUAUUUAUGGGGAAUUUAUUUGGUACAGGCGGCAAUGUGAAAUAAACACAUCAUGGAGAAAGCGGUAUCCAUCCCCUCAAGCAUUUAUCCUUUGAGUUACAAGCAAUUCAAUGACACUCUGUUAUAUUAAAAUAUAAAAUUCAGUUAUUACUGACUAUAGUCACCCUGUUGUGUUAUCAAAUACUAGAACUUACUCAUUCUUUCUUUUUUUUUUUUUUGGUACCCAUUAACCAUCCCCACUCCCCUCCGACCAUAUCAAAUCCCUUCUCAGCCUCGGGUAACCAUCCUUCUACUUCCUAUGUCUGUGAGUUAAUUGUUUUGAUUUUUAGAUCCCACAAAUAAGUAAGAACAUGUGAUGUUUGUCUUUCUGUCCCCGGCUUAUUUCACAUAACAUAAGGAUCUCCAGCUCCAUCCUUGUUCUUGAAAAUAAGCCUCAUUUUAUAAACUCAUGCUCACAUAACAAUAGGGAUGCAUACAUUCUGAGAAAUGCAUUGUUAGGCAAUUUUGUUGUGCAAGUAUCACAGAGGGUACUUGCAUAAACAUGGAUGGUAUAUACACAUAGCCUACUAAACACCUAGGGUAUAUGUAUAGCCCUAUUGUUCUUAAGCUACAAACCUGCACAGCACAUUAGUGUACUGAUAUUGUAGGAACUGUAACACAAUGACAAUUACUGUGUAUCUAAACAUAUCUAAGCAUAGAAAAGGUACAGUAAAAAUAUAGUAUUAUAACCUUAUGGGACCACUGUUGUAUAUGUAGCCCAUUGUUGACUGAAAUGUUAUGCAGUACAGGAUUGUAUUUUGGGAACUAGAACUAUAUAAAAGAUUACGGUCACAUACCAGCGCCAGAGUGCAAAUUCGACUUUGUUUUUUUUUUUUAUUUUUUCACCUCUACUCAGUACUUUGUUUAAUACUUAGGGAAACAAUGAACUUUAGAAAUUAAAAUACAAAGAAAAUGAAUUUGUCAAUAAUUCUCUGCUAUGAGUGUAUAAUUAAGUUUGUAUUUUAUGUAGAUACAAUGAAGUAGGUUUCUAUGUUAUGUAAACGUUAUAGGAAUAUACACACACAUACGUACAUACAUAUAUAUUACACAUCUCUAUAUAUAUAUAUAAAUAUAUAUAUGUUAGAUAAAUUAAUCUGAUUUAUCUCUCAGUAAGAUUUGGCAGUGUUUAUGUCUUUUAAAGCAUGUGGGAACCAACUCUUCAAAAUUGACUAGAACUUUUUCCUGAUCAGCCAAAUCUCCCAUUUUGGAAAAUAUUAGAGAACAACACAUAGAGUAUCAAUUUCUUUCUAAAUUGAAACUACACAAUAUAGGAAAUUUAGGGAUAGAAGCAUUAAUUAACAAUUAUCAGUUGUAAAUUACAAAAAUACAAACCACAAUCACUACUACUUAUUCCCUCCUGCAAAUUUAAAUGCCUUAAAUUAUAUGAACAAAAUUGUUAAUUCCUAAUUUUCUCAGUGAGUAGUCUUUCAGGGCACUGAAAAAAAUAAAUAAAUUGGGAGAAAUACCACAUACUCUAUAUCUUUAUUGAAUAUUCAUAACCCAUUUUAGCAUACUAAAAGUUCUCACAGGCCCUGAAGUAAAGAAACCUGUUUAAUGCAAUGUUAACCAAACUUACAAAAAGAGAUUCUGCUAUCAAUAACAUUUAAUACCACAUAGAACUAGGGUUUUCAGAUAACACCUUGAGUUAAUGCUGUGCUAAUUUAUUUUAUUUCAAGAGAAAUAGUAAAAGCCCCUAUGUCUCAUGGAAGAGAUUCCUUUUACUGCCAUAAACUUGAAGGGAACGCUUAGACAACAUGUUACAAUUGAGAGGUUUGGUAAUUCAUUCUUGAAAACCAAUUUACACAACUGAGGGCCAAGUGCUAUAAAGGAGAAUACCUCACAUGACCAUGGUGUGCAUCAGCAUCAAAGUGGAAUUCCACAUAUGAUCACUGUAUAUGUCGGCAUCAGCUUAAAUGAAUUCAUGUGAUUCAUUCAUGAAAGAAAAAUAACUAGUUUUACAGAAUUAUAAGAGAUUAACAGAAAAAUCAUUUUGUUUUACCCUUUCUCUUUAAGGUAGACUAUCAUUUUAUAGUUAUCAAUUGUCAGGCAAUUGCCUUUCUAACUACAUUAAGAAAAUAUUGCCUAGAAUUGCCUUUCUAACUAUAUUAAGAAAAUAUAGUACCUGUAAGGUUUCUCUGCAUACAUAGGCUAUUUGCAAUUCUGAUAAUGGUCCAGUAACUAGAAAGAAAAAGAGACCACAUUGUUAUACAUUUAAACCUAACAUUAGAAACAGUCUACUUAAAAAAAAUGGCAAACUAGGCCAAGCGCAGUGGCUCACGCCUGUAAUCCCAGCACUUUGGGAGGCCAAGGCAGGCGGAUCACGAGGUCAAGAGCUCGAGACUAUCCUGGCCAACAUGGUGAAACCCCGUCUCUACUAAAAAUACAAAAAUUGGCUGGGCAUGGUGGUGCGCACCUGUAGUCCCAGCUA
rnacentral:lncRNA from 1 species